GGGCGUACGGGGGAUGCCCGGGCAUCAGGACGCGAUGAAGGACGUGGCUUUCUGCGAUAAGCAACGGGGAGUUGUAAGCAAGCAUUGAUCCGUUGAUUUCCGAAUGGGGCAACCCUCUCAGUGAAUAACUGAGAACGCAAACGCGAGCAAAGUCGGGGAAUUGAAACAUCUUAGUACCCGGAAUAAAAAGAAAUAACAAUGAUUCCGUCAGUAGCCGUGAGCGAACGCGGAUGAGCCUAAACCUCUGCCUACGUUACAGAUCUAAUUCGCAUGUAGCAGAGGGGUGUAGACCCGUACGCCCCUUUCUUAC
rnacentral:rRNA from 1 species